rnacentral:rRNA from 1 species
GAUGAACGCUGGCGGCGUGCUUAACACAUGCAAGUCGAACGAGAAAUGGAGACGGAAACCUUCGGGCGGAAGGCUUCAUUUCGAGUGGCGGACGGGUGAGUAACGCGUGGGUAACCUGCCUCAUACAGGGGGAUAACAGUUGGAAACGACUGUUAAUACCGCAUAAGACCACAGCACCGCAUGGUGCGGGGGUAAAAACUCCGGUGGUAUGAGAUGGACCCGCGUUCGAUUAGCCAGUUGGCGGGGUAACGGCCCACCAACGCGACGAUCGAUAGCCGAUCUGAGAGGAGGACCGGCCACAAUGGGACUGAGACACGGACCAAACUCCUACGGGAGGCAGCAGUGGGGAAUAUUGCACAAUGGGGGAAACCCUGAUGCAGCGACGCCGCGUGAGUGAAGAAGUACUUCGGUAUGUAAAGCUCUAUCAGCAGGGAAGAAAAUGACGGUACCUGAGUAAGAAGCCCCGGCUAACUACGUG